GACGAACGCUGGCGGCGUGCUUAACACAUGCAAGUCGAGCGGUAAGGCCCUUUCGGGGGUACACGAGCGGCGAACGGGUGAGUAACACGUGGGUGACCUGCCCUCAGCUCUGGGAUAAGCCUGGGAAACCGGGUCUAAAUACCGGAUAUGACUCCAUGACGCAUGUUGUGGGGUGGAAAGCCUUGUGCGGCUGAGGAUGGGCCCGCGGCCUAUCAGCUUGUUGGUGGGGUGAUGGCCUACCAAGGCGACGACGGGUAGCCGGCCUGAGAGGGCGACCGGCCACAC
rnacentral:rRNA from 1 species